GGAGGUAGUAUCUGUAUGUCCUUAGGUGGCUGGAGGUAUAGCUGUGUUGUGGUGAAGCAAGCACAUAGAAUUAUUAACAGAGGAGUAGUUUUUGUUUAAAAAGGAAAAGCAGUUCUUGAUGUGGCUAGAGAGAACAUGAUGGUUCUUGGCUGCUAGGAGGUGCUGGACCUGGGUGCUGCUCCACUACAGUUCAUCUGAGUUGUCUGAAUGAUCACACAGAUGUUACAACAACCACAAGCACGUUCACUGGGAGAGAAUCUAAGGAUGAAUUAACAUGCUCACAAGAUAACUACCAUUGUUCCUCACUGCCUUGGAGAAUGGCCUCAGUAGGGCCAGAGUUAACGCUGGAUGUGGAGAUCUUCCUUCUAACCAGGGAUGUAACCUGGUACUAUCUGAUGAUACAACACAGCAGGAAAGCCUGGGUUUGGUCACUCCUUCUGUUGGGGUACAGAUCUUGCCAUAUGUUACAAGACCUGGUAAUCUGUUCACAGCUGUGUGUGAUCUUUGCCUCCAAAUUAGGCUUCACAGUAUUUCUUUCAGUAUCCACUGAAGCACAAGGAGGUAAGAUGGAGAACACAACAGAGUAGCCCAUAUCUAGAAACCAAAAUGGGGCAGGGAAAAGGAAAGUGCUCCAGCAAGCAGGGAAUGGCACUUUCCACUUAGCUGAGUUGUGUUGGGAGCUGAGGCUCUUCCUAUGCUUUUCUACAGCUGGGUGGCAGCAUUUCUGCAGCAAUUCAUGUGUAUGGUAAGUUAAUUGCUCAAAGUUGUUUUUUUUUUUUAGGGAUCAGAUGUUAUGUGCUUAUUUCUCUCAACUGUGAUUACCCUUUUUAGAGCAACAUAAAGCUCACGAAAUCUUUGUUACAUGUCAGUAAUAGUGAGUGCUAGUGAGAUGUUACUGCGAAUCAGUAGGUGCAAGAUCUUACAAAAUGAGCAGGAGUUUAUAAAACUGUAGUGCAGACACUUGUCUGCUGUCCAUCCUCUCUCUUCUGGCAUUUGGUGUCUUCUGUUACAUUCACAGUCUGUGUUCAGGAUUCCCCAACUCAAACACCAGUUUGCUUCAUUUACAUACAUGUGCGAAGAUGAAUUCAAAUGAACUGACUGCCUCAAAGACCUGAACUGAUAUAGUUUCCUCCACUGCAUUUCUCAUUUAUCCAUGCCACUGUUCACCUUCUACACUAGCAAAUUAAGAUUUAACUUCAAGGCUGAAUUUUGCAAGCUUAAAAUUUAAAUAAUUGUAUUUUAUUUGCAUCAGAAGGAAAAGUUCCUCACCAUUAUAUUUACUUCAUUGUGAAAUUAUCAUAGCGUAAUCACAUAUCCUUUUUAUAUCUCCUAUGGUUUUUUGCCCCUCACCAUGAAAUUUACUUUUCUGGGUAAUUUUUAUCUGUCCUUUGAACUCAUUCUUGUGUUCCCCUGUCCUUUGUGUAACUCAUUUUUUGAAUGAAUGUGGUUUUCUAGCAACAUUUUAUUAGUGCUGUAUACAUAACUGCUGUCAUUACCCAGCUUUUAAUGGUUAUUUUCCAUUUUAUGGAGGGUGCUCCAGACAUACCCUGACAUCAGGCUGAGCCAGUUACUGUGUCUGUGCGCUGUAAUCCUGCCACCAUUACCUGGUGCUUGGCUGUGUUAAAACAGAUUUGGUUGGAUUGUGACUGUUCAGUGGGCAAUUCAGAUGGUCUUGUAUCGGUGACCUGUCUUCAUUUAUUACUGUACUGAACUUUGUUAACUGCAAACUUUAUCAGCAAAAAUUUUAUAUCACUCGUAACAAUAUUGAACAGUGCUUGAUCGAGCACUGAUCUCUGGGACAACCACCAGUGAUGUUCAUGUUAACUGAAGCUUUCCCAUUAGCAACUCAAUUAAAGACCUGCUACUAAGUCAAUUUUUAAUCUAUUUUAUGUAUCCUUUUAGUACUACUUGGUAUCUUUGUUGAAAAAAAAAAAAAAAAAAACCCAAACCAAAA